GCCACCUGUAGCUGAAGAGUGCCUUAACGCCGAGGCCCACGGCUCCAUGCGAGAGAUGCCUGUUCCUUCUCUGAUAAAUUUGGCAGCUUCACGUACCCUAAGUUUUUGCAUUUCUGACAACCACGUGUCCUCACCUGGACCCGCCAACCCAUCCUGUGGCCUCCACCCAGGAACUGACUCAGCAUGAGAGGACAGCCUCAAUUCCCCAUGAUUUCAUCUCCAACCCAACCAAUCAGCUUGCCCCCUACCCUGGUCCCCUGCCCACCAAACUGUCUUUGAAAAACCCAUAACCUCCAUGCCUUCAGGGAGAUAAUUUGAGUACUAACGCCAUCUCCCAUGGGGCAUGGCCGACCUCGUGUCUAUUAAACUCUUUCUUU
rnacentral:lncRNA from 1 species